UACGAAGGGGGCUAGCGUUGUUCGGAAUUACUGGGCGUAAAGGGUGUGUAGGUGGUUCAGCAAGUUAGAAGUGAAAUCCCUGGGCUCAACCCAGGAAUUGCUUUUGAGACUGUUGGACUUGAGUACAGGAGAGGUGAGUGGAAUUCCCAGUGUAGAGGUAAAAUUCGUAGAUAUUGGGAGGAACACCAGUGGCGAAGGCGGCUCACUGGCCUGUAACUGACACUGAGACACGAAAGCGUGGGGAGCAAACAGG
rnacentral:rRNA from 1 species